GGUCCAACACGAAGUCAGUGCCUACCCAACCCGACGAAGGGGGGAAACUGUCCCAAAGGUUGUGGUUGGUGAUUGGGGUG
rnacentral:rRNA from 1 species